CCUACGGGGGGCUGCAGUGAGGAAUAUUGGUCAAUGGGCGAGAGCCUGAACCAGCCAUCCCGCGUGAAGGAAGAAGGCGCUAUGCGUUGUAAACUUCUUUUUCAGGGGGAUAAAAUAUUGUAUGUAUACGAUACUGAAGGUACCCUGAGAAUAAGCAUCGGCUAACUCCGUGCCAGCAGCCGCGGUAAUACGGAGGAUGCGAGCGUUAUCCGGAUUUAUUGGGUUUAAAGGGUGCGUAGGCGGAAUAAUAAGUCAGUGGUGAAACCCUGCAGCUUAACUGUAGACUUGCCAUUGAUACUGUUUUUCUUGAGUAUGGUCAAGGCAGGCGGAAUGUGUAAUGUAGCGGUGAAAUGCUUAGAUAUUACACAGAACACCGAUAGCGAAGGCAGCUUGCUGGGCCGUUACUGACGCUGAUGCACGAAAGCGUGGGGAUCGAACAGGAUUAGAUACCCCGGUAGUC
rnacentral:rRNA from 1 species